GAUGAACGCUGGCGGCGUGCUUAAUACAUGCAAGUCGAACGGAAAGGUGCGGCGCUUGUUCCUUUCUCGUGUGCCGCGCGGGGGAGUGACACGUGAGUAUCCUCCCCCUGUCUUACGGAUAACAUCAGGGAACUGGGGCUAUUACCCGGUAUGAUAUCUUGCUCCACGUUGGUGGUUGGAAGGAUUCGGCGUUUGUGGAUGGACUCGCGGCUUAUCAGCUAGUUGGUGGGGUAGUGGCUUACCAAGGCUUCGACGGGUAGCCGGCCUGAGAGGGUGAACGGCCACACUGGAACUGAGACACGGUCCAGACUCCUACGGGAGGCAGCAGUAGGGAAUCUUCCGCAAUGGGCGAAAGCCUGACGGAGCAACGCCGCGUGAGUGAUGAAGGUCUUCGGAUCGUAAAACUCUGUUAUUAGGGAAGAACAAAUGUGUAAGUAACUAUGCACAUCUUGACGGUACCUAAUCAGAAAGCCACGGCUAACUACGUG
rnacentral:rRNA from 1 species